UGGGAUCAAGAAAGUAUGCUCUCUCCUGGGCACUUUAAUUUACUUGAAAAACCUUUCUCUGAGGAGGAAAUUAAGACUGCAGUCUUUGGCUCUUAUGCUGAGGGAGCACCUGGUCCAGAUGGAUUUCCUUUCUUGUUUUACCAAAAGUACUGGGAUUUAAUCAAGAAUGAUCGGUUUGCUCUCUUGAGAGAUUGGGAGGCUGGAGAACUUGAUUUGUACAGACUCAAUUUCUCCCUCCUUACUUUAGGGCCUAAAGAACCUAAUGUUGUUAAGCUAGAUAGGUUCAGGCCUCUGGCCAUGAUCAAUUGUAGUUUCAAAAUUUUUGCUAAA
rnacentral:rRNA from 1 species